rnacentral:rRNA from 1 species
GAUGAACGCUGACAGAAUGCUUAACACAUGCAAGUCAACUUGAAUUUGGGUUUUUAACUUAAGUUUGGGUGGCGGACGGGUGAGUAACGCGUAAAGAACUUGCCUCACAGCUAGGGACAACAUUUGGAAACGAAUGCUAAUACCUAAUAUUAUGAUAAUAGGGCAUCCUAUAAUUAUGAAAGCUAUAAGCGCUGUGAGAGAGCUUUGCGUCCCAUUAGCUAGUUGGAGAGGUAACGGCUCACCAAGGCGAUGAUGGGUAGCCGACCUGAGAGGGUGAUCGGCCACAAGGGGACUGAGACACGGCCCUUACUCCUACGGGAGGCAGCAGUGGGGAAUAUUGGACAAUGGACCAAGAGUCUGAUCCAGCAAUUCUGUGUGCACGAUGAAGUUUUUCGGAAUGUAAAGUGCUUUCAGUUGGGAAGAAAGAAAUGACGGUACCAACAGAAGAAGUGACGGCUAAAUACGUGCCAGCAGCCGCGGUAAUACGUAUGUCACGAGCGUUAUCCGGAUUUAUUGGGCGUAAAGCGCGUCUAGGUGGUUAUGUAAGUCUGAUGUGAAAAUGCAGGGCUCAACUCUGUAUUGCGUUGGAAACUGUAUAACUAGAGUACUGGAGAGGUAAGCGGAACUACAAGUGUAGAGGUGAAAUUCGUAGAUAUUUGUAGGAAUGCCGAUGGGGAAGCCAGCUUACUGGACAGAUACUGACGCUGAAGCGCGAAAGCGUGGGUAGCAAACAGG